CUGGCUCAGGAUGAACGCUAGCGGCAGGCCUAAUACAUGCAAGUCGAACGGAUGUAGCAAUACAUUAGUGGCGCACGGGUGCGUAACGCGUAACCAACCUACCUGGAUCUGGGGGAUAGCCCGCCGAAAGGCGGAUUAAUACCGCAUACGCCCGUUGACUGGCAUCAGUUGAUGGGGAAAGAUUUAUUGGAUUCAGAUGGGGUUGCGUAGCAUUAGCUAGUUGGCGGGGUAGAGGCCCACCAAGGCGACGAUGCUUAGGGGACCUGAGAGGGUGAUCCCCCACACUGGCACUGAGAUACGGGCCAGACUCCUACGGGAGGCAGCAGUAGGGAAUAUUGGGCAAUGGGCGAGAGCCUGACCCAGCCAUGCCGCGUGCCGGAUGAAGGCCUUCUGGGUUGUAAACGGCUUUUCUCAGGGAAGAAAAAGAGGAUGCGUCCUAAACUGAC
rnacentral:rRNA from 1 species